AGAGUUUGAUCCUGGCUCAGGAUAAACGCUGGCGGCAUGCCUAAUACAUGCAAGUCGAACGGGAGAGCUUGCUCUCCAGUGGCGAACGGGUGAGUAACACGUAUCUAAUCUACCUUAAAGCGGGGGAUAGCCUUUGGAAACGAAGGGUAAUACCGCAUGUGAGCACUAUUAUCGCAUGAGAAAGUGCUGAAAGUUCCGUUUGGAACACUUUAAGAUGAGGAUGCGGCGUAUUAGCUAGUAGGCGGGGUAAUGGCCCACCUAGGCAAUGAUACGUAGCCGAACUGAGAGGUUGAUCGGCCACAUUGGGACUGAGAUACGGCCCAGACUCCUACGGGAGGCAGCAGUAGGGAAUUUUUCACAAUGGACGAAAGUCUGAUGAAGCAAUGCCGCGUGAGUGAUGAAGGUCUUCGGAUCGUAAAACUCUGUUGUAAGGGAGGAAAAUUUAGGAUAGGAAACGAUCUUAAACUGACGGUACCUUACCAGAAAGCCACGGCUAACUAUGUGCCAGCAGCCGCGGUAAUACAUAGGUGGCAAGCGUUAUCCGGAUUUAUUGGGCGUAUAGGGUGCGUAGGCGGUUUUGUAAGUUCAUGGUCAAAUCCCGAGGCUCAACCUCGGUUCGCCGUGAAAACUACAUCACUAGAAUACAAGAGAGGUAAACGGAAUUCCAUGUGUAGCGGUGAAAUGCGUAGAUAUAUGGAAGAACACCUGUGGCGAAAGCGGUUUACUGGCUUGUUAUUGACGCUGAGGCAC
rnacentral:rRNA from 1 species